CAUCUCUAAUAAAAGCUAGGAACACUUUUUUAUAGAGGUUUAAGAAUUAUGUCUAAUAGUCGGCUGGGUCUUUGUGUUAUGCUAUUAGGUCCUCCACAAAUAGGUCUAAAAGGUAAAUCGUUAGGAUCACAAACUUUCAGAUAUUCUGACUGUUGUUCGUUCAAUGAAUCAGCAAUUGUUUUACUUUUUUGAAUUUUUGGUUAACCUUAGAAAUAACUUGUUGUGUGUCCAAAAUUUGUUAGAUAGUCAGACUCUUCUUUCUUAAGGCCAUCACCGUAUUUUCUAAUAAUGUCAUGUAAAACAUGUUAAGUUCUUAAAUCUGGUCCUUCAUCUGUUUCUUCGUAAUAAAUAGGAUCAUUUAAUAUAGAUAAAAUCUUCUCUUUGUAAAAAGUAUUAUUCAUGCAAACAACAGCACCUCCUUUAUCAGCCUCUUUAAUUAUCAAUGCAUUUUUAUCUUUUAGAGUUUUAAGUGCUACGCGGUCAUUACGAGAUAAGUUAUGUUUCACGUGGCUGUUAUUUUCUAAUGGAUAUUCCUUUAAAAGUUGAAUAGCGUCUUCCAAUGCUGUGUCAUUACUUUUGGGAGGGUUCCAUCCAGUCUUAUUUCUUUGAUGUCUGUAUUUAGUUCUAUUUUGUUUUCAUUAGGGGUGGGAGUAAAUCUAAGUCCUUUACGGAGUAAAUUGAUUUCGUUUUUUGAUAAUUCAGUAUUAGAUAAAUUUAUUACCUUUGGAUUAAUUACCCUGUUUUUCUGAUUUAUGCUAUCUGCUUUCGGAAAGUUAUUUCGUUGUCUACCAUUACGUUUGUUUCCUUUACCGAGGUGUUUCUUUCUGACAUGUUUUUACUCGUUUAGCUAAUUCGUAUAAAAGUACUUAUUAGUAAAACAAUUUUUGCAUUAACUUCUAUGAUAAGUCAAUGCUUUUAAUUUUAAAGCAAAUUUAUUAUCUCCCUUUAUUUAGUCUAUAUAAAGGUUUAUGCAAGAUCUUUACAUUUAUAUAAGUAAAUAUUUUUCCAUUUCCACAUGGUUUCAAGUAAAACCUUUUCUGACAUAUUUUUUACUCGUUUAGCUCACUAAUAUUAAAUAGUAUUUAUAAGUAAUGGAAACGUUGUAUCUACUUCUAUAAUUAGUCAAUGUUUUGAAUUUUAAUACUUAUUUAUUACCUCUCUUUAUAGAAUAUUUACCCUAUGCAUUUUUGUAGGAAUUCAAUACUUCUUAUAUAGAGAGUAAAAGAAUAGCUCAUUUACGGCGCAACGUCGUAUUUUUACGUUUCGCACUUUUAUAACGUUACGUCAUUGUUAUAUUUGUUAUGAUUAUAUUAUACGUUACUGUCUGAAGAUAUGUUAAAACAUUCGAAAGCGCUAACAGAAAUAAACGUAUAAAAAAUUAAUGAACUUUGUACUCUGCAUUUCCCAAAACAUACUUUUUAUGCCCCCACAAAGUGGGAGCAUAUAGCGUUGCACUUGUCCGUCCGUCCGUACGUCUGUCCGUCCGUACGUCCCGAAAACUUGUGAACGCAACUCCUCUCAAACCGGGUGGCAGAGUUUGAUUAAACUUCCAGGGAUGAACAACCUUAAUGUGUAGAUGGUAGUAAAGGAAGGAAUUUCGCUGCGACCAAAUUUAACAGAAUUAUGGCCCUUUGUUGAUUUUUUCACUAUAUACUUUGCAGAAAUUUUGUGAACGCAACUCCUCUUAAACCGGAUGGCUGAUUUUGCUUAAACGUCCAUGGAUGAACAACCUUAAUGUGUAGAUGGCAGUAAGGCAGUAAAGGAAGGAAUUUUUGCUGCGGCCAAAUUUAACAGAAUUAUGGCCCUUUGUUGAUUUUGUCACUAUAUACCAUAUAUAUGUUAUCAGUGGGGGCAUCCGUGUCCUUUGGACACAGUUCUAGUUUUAUACAUGAGAUCCACACAAGGAAUCGAACUUCUUUUAUAUAUAUAUUUCUAUCUUUCCUUUACUAAUGCUUUUAUCUAGUUAUAUGAUGUAAAUGAUUUCAAUAUGGUAUAAGGGCUAAUAUUAUAGACGUUAUAAAAUCAAUGUAAGAAAGUGUAAGGCCCAUAAUAAAAUAUCAAAACAUUGAAAUGUUUAGAGUUUACAUGUGUGUUGGGCGCCAUUGAAGCAAAAUAUUGGUCUCAUGUUUUAUUUGGAAUGUAUCUAAAUCAUAUACAAUACUUUUGUUCUUAAUUGCUUUAAAGGAGCUGUUUUGCGGUGUUUAAAACUGUUUUUACUUUUAUAUGGAGGUAAUAUUGUUAUCUUGCUUAAAACAGAAGACAGUUUACAUAAAAGCUUGUUGUUAUUAGAAAAUUACUCUUUACUCUUUUUACUGGUAUUGUUAAUUUGCUUGAUUUUUUUUUCAAAUAAUAAUAAUUUAGUUUUUUUUACAUGUCAUUUCUUUUAAUUUUGUAACUAUGUCAAAUCCAUCUAAACUUGUUUGUAUAAAUUAUGUUUACUUUGUUCAUGUAAAUAUUAACAAAACUAAUAAUGUACUUGUAAAUUAAAAUGUUUAUGUUUAAUUACAAGACCCUUUUUACAAAACUUUGACAUGAACGUUAAAAAUGUUUAUGCCAAUUAACUGUUUGACUUGACUUGAUAUAUAUCUUGUUUAUAGAUCUUUUUACACUUUCCUUCUUAUUUUCUUAACCUUAAAUUCGAGCUUUUCGUAUUACAAUUGUACAAAAUAUUGGUCAUGAUUUUACAUAAAAGUGGAUCAAUCUUUGACAUUACUUAUUUCGAUAAACAUAAAUGUGUAGUUAUAAGUAAUAAACACUUUUUUAAACUCAUGUAAA